rnacentral:tRNA from 1 species
GCCUGAGUAGCAUAAUUGGUUAGAGCAUUGGUCUAAUAAGCCAAAGGUUGUGAGUUCAAGUCUCACCUCAGGUA